rnacentral:rRNA from 1 species
AUCAGUGGCCAUAGCAAAGGGGAUCACCUGAUACCAUUCCGAACUCAGUAGUUAAGCCCUUUAGCGUCGAAGAUACCAGAGAUGGGAAAAUAGGGAGCUGCUUUUU